rnacentral:rRNA from 1 species
GCUCAAAUUUGAAAUCUUAAAGGUUUUACCUUGACGAAUUGUAGUUUAAAGAAGUGUUUUCUGUUGGUGUUUUGGUAAAAGUUCUUUGGAAUAGGACAUCAUAGAGGGUGAGAAUCCCGUAUUUGACCAUUACUUCCAGCGUUGUGAUACACUUUCAAAGAGUCGGAUUGUUUGGGAAUGCAGUCCAAAAUGGGUGGUAAAUUUCAUCUAAAGCUAAAUAUUGGCGAGAGACCGAUAGCGAACAAGUACCGUGAGGGAAAGAUGAAAAGAACUUUGAAAAGAGAGUUAAACAGUACGUGAAAUUGUCAAAAGGGAAGCGUUUGACACCAGUGUUGUUUUCUCGAAAAUCAAUUAAAAAAAGUUGGAUUUUGUAUUGUUAAGACCUUAUCAGCUUACUGUACUCUUUUCUUGCUUUUUUUAAUGCACUUUUCAUUUAACAAG